UUGCUGGUGUAUGGUGAGAUAGUAGUUGUGUCAGUAGUGUAUAAUUGGUCUUAGUUGUGUUGGUGGUGUGUGAUGAGAUGAUAGCUGUGUUGGUAGUGUUUAAUUGGUCUAAGUUGUGUUGGUGUUGUAUGAUGAGAUGGUAGUUGUGUUGGUAGUGUAUAAUUGGUCUUAGUUGUGUUGGUGGUGUAUGUGAGAUGGUAGUUGUGUUGGUAGUGCAUAAUUGGUCUUAGUUGUGUUGGUGGUGUAUGAUGAGAUGAUAGUUGUGUUGGUAGUGUAUAAUUGGUCUUAGUUGUUUUGGUGGUGUAUGAUUAGAUGGUAGUUGUGUUGGUAGUGUAUAAUUGUUCUUAGUUGUGUUGGUGGUGUAUGAUUAGAUGGUUAUUGUGUUGGUAGUGUAUCAUUGGUCUUAGUUGUGUUGGUUAUGUAUGAUGAGAUGGUAGUUGUGUCGGUGGUGUAUAAUUGGUCUUAGUUGUGUUGGUGGUGUAUGGUUAGAUGGUACUUGUGUUGGCAGUGUAUCAUUGGUCUUAGUUGUUUUGGUGGUGUAUGAUGAGAUGGUAGUUGUGUUGGUGGUGUAUAAUUGAUCUUUGUUGUGUUGGUGGUAUAUGAUGAGAUGGUAGUUGUGUUGGUAGUAUAUAAUUGGACUUAGUUGUGUGUGUUGGUGGUGUAUGACGAGAUGGUAGUUGUGUUGGCAGUUUAUAAUUGGUCUUAGUUGUGUUGGUGGUUUGUGAUGAGAUGGUAGUUGUGUUGGUAGUGUAUAAAUGAUCUUAGUUGUGUUGGUGCUGUAUGAUGGUAUGGUAGUUGUGUCAGUAGUGUUUAAUUUGUCUUAGUUGUGUUGGUGGUGUAUGAUGAGAUGGGAGUUGUGUUGGUAGUGUAUAAUUGGUCUUAGUUGUGUUGGUGGUGUAUGAUGAGAUCAUACACCACCAACACAGCUAAGACCAAUUAUACACUACCAACACAACUACCAUCUCAUCAUACACCACCAAC
rnacentral:lncRNA from 1 species